rnacentral:rRNA from 1 species
UACGAAGGGUGCAAGCGUUACUCGGAAUUACUGGGCGUAAAGCGUGCGUAGGUGGUUUGUUAAGUCUGUUGUGAAAGCCCCGGGCUCAACCUGGGAAUGGCAAUGGAUACUGGCAAGCUAGAGUGCGGUAGAGGGUAGUGGAAUUCCCGGUGUAGCGGUGAAAUGCGUAGAGAUCGGGAGGAACACCAGUGGCGAAGGCGGCUCACUGGACCAUAACUGACGCUGAUGCACGAAAGCUAGGGGAGCAAACAGG